AACGCCAAUUGUCUCUGGUCAGAGGCAGAGAUGGGGGCUCUGCGGGGCGCGGGUUGCUGCGCGCCGCAGUCCCCUUGAAUGGAGCAGGAUGGCUCUGGGGGCGUCCGGACCGCCGUGUGCUGGAGGCCCUGUGCCUACUCGCGGCGGCGCCGGCGCUGGCCGGGUGAAAGCCGUCCUCAAACCGAGCAUAUUAGCA
rnacentral:misc_RNA from 1 species